GGGCACAUGGUGUAGUUGGUUAUCACAUCCGCUUAGCAUAAUCAAGUGUCUGCGGGGGGUGCUGGGUUCAAUUCCCAGUGUGUCCA